rnacentral:rRNA from 1 species
CUAGCAGUAUCAGAGUUUGAUCCUGGCUCAGGAUAAACGCUGGCGGCGUGCAUAACACAUGCAAGUCGAACGAUGAAACUUAACUGAUUUCUUCGGAAUGAUUUUAAGUGGAUUAGUGGCGGACGGGUGAGUAACGCGUGAGUAACCUGCCUUGCACAAGGGGAUAGCCGUUGGAAACGACGAAUAAUACCCUAUGAUAUAAACUCUUCGCAUGAAGGGCUUAUCAAAGAUUUAUCGGUGUAAGAUGGACUCGCGUCUGAUUAGCUAGUUGGUGGGAUAAAAGCCUACCAAGGCAACGAUCAGUAGCCGGCUUGAGAGAGUGUACGGCCACAUUGGGACUGAGACACGGCCCAG